AGUAAGAGUAAUAGGAUUGAGGUUUGAAAAAUUGAGGUUUGGUGUUGAUAGUAGUUGAAUGUAGCGAUUGGAAAUCUACAUUUUUUGCUUUUGAUAGUUUCUCUGUAUUUUUUUUAUUUUUUUUUGUCUUUGUUUGGUUAUGUAUUUGAAAGUGGUGGUUUUGAUGGAUUGAAGAAUGUUUUGUUAAAAUAUGAAAGGUAAAUGAAUUGGUUUUUUGUGUUUUUCCCUCUUUCUCCUCUCUGUUUUUUCUUCACU
rnacentral:lncRNA from 1 species